rnacentral:lncRNA from 10 species
CCUGCUUGGUAUGAGAUCAUUUGUGCAUAAAAUACUUGGCCAAAGUGUUUUAUAGGUUUGUUGGGAAAAUCAAAUAAAUAACAUGUAAACGUAUCUUACAAAUUAUGAAGCCACAUAUAAACGUAAAUUUGCUCUUUUUUAAUGAUAAGCAAUUCAGAUAUUUGGGCAAGUGGCAUGACCAUGGAUUAUUUCACUGGUUUUCUUCCUCGUAGCCCUUGCUCUCCAGCUAUUGACAUCAGUGUGGAGUCAGUAAUUCUUUUCUUAGAAGCUGAAGUUAUCAUUUACAGUAAAUUUGGUUUUAGUUCUUUGUCAUCCUUAUUUACCUGAAGCUCCUUCAGGAAAAUUACUCUGAGCUCAGAAUUAGCUUAGAUAACUUAUAAAUAGGUGUAUAACAGGGAUCAGAAAGCCACUCUAGGCCUGACAUGCUUGACAGGCUCUGACGCAGGAGGUGGGAGUUCCUGGCCCUUCUAAACACAGAUGUGACUAUUAGGAGCAAAAGGUACCAAGGGCCCUAUUUCCCACUGGCGAGGCUUCUUAUUCAGCCCUCACUCUUCUUUCUGUUCACGUUUCCUCUUCAGUUCUCAGUGCCACAUCAUUUGGCAUCAGAGAUGAAAAGGAUCUAGGGCUGGUUGUUCUCAGAACCAAGAAGCUUUCAAAACCAGCUUGUGGUAGCCCUUCUUGAGAGCAGCUCAGUCUUCUCAUUGGUUCACUCUGACCAAUCCCAGGAUGCAUAGGGACCCAGGCAAAGCAGCAACCAAUAAUCACCGUUAUUAUUAAGAGC